rnacentral:misc_RNA from 1 species
GAAAAACCCAAGUACAAAGCAAUCAAACACUGACAGGAAAAUAGCUAGAGAAGGGGACAGCGACACAGGAAAUAGUGUAUGAGACAGAACAGAUUCAGCAAGCCCAGAAACCCAUCUCUGACACAACAACAAAAUUCAGAUAUGCUGCAAAAACUACCUUUUUUUUUUCCUUCUACAAAAUCCUAAAACAAGCUCGCCACAAUCAUCGAAAACUAUCAAAUGAGAUAUAAAAU